UGUCCCAGUUCGGACUGGAGUCUGCAACCCGACUCCACGAAGUUGGAUUCGCUAGUAAUCGCGCAUCAGCCAUGGCGCGGUGAAUACGUUCCCGGGCCUUGUACACACCGCCCGUCAAGCCAUGGGAGCCGGGGGCGCCUGAAGUUCGUGACCGCAAGGAGCGACCUAGGGCAAAACUGGUGACUGGGGCUAAGUCGUAACAAGGUAAC
rnacentral:rRNA from 1 species